UACGGAGGGUGCAAGCGUUAUCCGGAUUCACUGGGUUUAAAGGGAGCGCAGGCGGAUUGGUAAGUCAGUGGUGAAAGGCUUAAGCUUAACUUGGGGAACUGCCAUUGAUACUAUCAGUCUUGAAUGUUGUUGAGGUUUGCGGAAGUGGGUCAUGGUAGCGGUGAAAUGCAUAGAUAUGACCCGGAACACCUAUUGCGAAGGCAGCAGGCUAAACAAAUAUUGACGCUGAGGCUCGAAAGCGUGGGGGAUCAAACAGGG
rnacentral:rRNA from 1 species